rnacentral:rRNA from 1 species
UUUAUGAAAUUAAAAUAAUUUGGCGGUAUUUUAGUCUAUUCAGAGGAAUUUGUUUUAUAAUCGAUAAUCCCCGUUAAAUCUUACUUAUUUUAUUUAAUUUGUAUAUCGUUGUCAUUAGAAUAUUUUAUAAGAAUAAUAAUUUUCUUAAAUUAUUUAAAAUUUUAUGUCAAAUCAAGGUGCAGUUUAUAUUUAAGUAAAAAUGAAUUACAUUAAUAUAUAAUUAAAUGAAUUAAAAAUUGAAACGUUUUUAUGAAGGUGGAUUU